rnacentral:rRNA from 1 species
UACGUAGGUGGCAAGCGUUGUCCGGAUUUAUUGGGUUUAAAGGGUGCGUAGGCGGUCCACUAAGUCAGCAGUGAAAUACGACAGCUCAACUGUCGAGGUGCUGAUGAUACUGGUGGACUUGAGUACUGAUGAGGUAGGCGGAAUGGACGGUGUAGCGGUGAAAUGCUUAGAGAUCGUCCAGAACACCGAUAGCGAAGGCAGCUUACUAAGGAGUAACUGACGCUGAGGCACGAAAGUGUGGGGAUCAAACAGG